rnacentral:misc_RNA from 1 species
CUCGCUCCCACCCUCGAGUUCUCGCUCGCUCGAGCUGUGGCGGCGAGAUGCGGAAACAGAUCCCUCCCGUCUCCUGCCUCGUACUCCUCGCGGCGGCUUUCGCGCUGCUCGCCAAGGCGUCUGCAGCGUCACCGGCGCAGGCCGCCGUCGCGGUCAACGUCACGGGCGUCCUCUCGGCGUUCCCGGACCUCAGCGACUUCACGCGGCUGCUGGCGUCCAGCCCCGUGCUGGCGGAGCUCGCAGGGCGGUCAUCGCUGACGCUGCUGGCCGUGCCAAACGGCAACCUCCCGCAGUCGCCGUCGGCGUUCGCGGCCGCGUCGGGCGCCGACCUCGCCGACGUCCUCCGCUACCACGUCCUCCUCGAGUACCUCUCCCACGCCGACCUACGCCGUCUGCCCGCCUCCGGGAAGCUGGUGACCACGCUGUUCCAGACGACCGGCCGCGCCACCGCGGACCUAGGCGCCGUCAACGUCACCACAGCGGGCGCCUCCCGCCUCACCGUCAUCCGGUCGCCGGCACCGUUCCCGGGCUCGAACGCCACCGUCCUCGGCGCCAUCACCGCGGUGCCGUACAACCUGAGCGUGCUGGCGGUGAGCGGCCUCAUCGCGCCCUCCGGGUUCGACCUCGCGGCGUCCGAGUCCCAGCCGCCCGCGGCCGUGAACAUCACCCGCGUCCUCGCCGACGCGCGCGCCUUCAACGUGGCGGCGUCCAUGCUGGAGGCGUCGGGCGUGGCGGCCGAGUUCGAGGACGACGAGCGCGGGGCCGGGAUCACGGUGUUCGCGCCGACCGACGACGCCUUCGCGGGCCUCCCGGCGGGGGACCGGCUCCAGUCGCUCCCCGCCGACCGCAAGGCCGUGGUGCUCCGCUUCCACGUGCUCCACUCCUACUACCCGCUGGGGUCGCUGGAGUCGAUCGUGAACCCCGUCCAGCCCACGCUGGCCACCGAGUUCAGCAACGCCGGCCGCUUCACCCUCAACAUCACCCGCGCCAACGGCUCCGUGGCCAUCGACACCGGCGUCGUGCAGGCCACCAUCACGCGGACCGUGUUCGACCAGAACCCUGUCGCCGUCUUCGCCGUAUCCAAGGUUCUCCUCCCCAAGGAGAUGUUCACCCGCACAGCCGCCGCCUCCAUCGUGGCCACCACCGCCUCCGCGUCCUCCCCCCCACCAGCCGCGACAGCCCCGGAGGCCUCCGAGAGCGCGCGGACGCCGCCGACAAAGCUGUCCUCCCCACCCGCGCUCCGCGGCGGCGGGCAGGACUACGCCACGGCGCCGGCGCCGGCGCGAGGGAUCGAGUGGUGGUGUAUAGCAUUGGUGUAUCUACUCCCACAUCUGGUAUGAGAUCCGGGACUCCGUCAGUCCACCGCUGUUCUCAAUUUUUGCCUUCUGUUUUCUCUUCUCUCUUCUUUUUCUUAUGUGGGUUUUGCAAGAAUCUGUACAAUGUUGACUCUGUGAGGUGAGGUGAGGCCUGAGGGAGGUGAAGAAGGAGAAGAAGAAGAUUCAGCUGCGAAAACAAAGAAAAUGCAGCGACCUUUUAAGCAAGAAGAAACAGAAUUGGUUAUUGUUGGCCAUCAUCAAAGGGGAAAUAACAGUACCGCCCUGUAAAAAUCCAAUCAAAUCCAUUGCAUCCGACAAUUGCUUUACCAUACUC